rnacentral:rRNA from 1 species
GACGAACGCUGGCGGCGUGCUUAACACAUGCAAGUCGAACGGUGAAGGGGAGCUUGCUCCCCGGAUCAGUGGCGAACGGGUGAGUAACACGUGGGCAACCUGCCCCAGACUUCGGGAUAACGCUUCGAAAGAGGUGCUAAUACCGGAUACGAACUCUCCAGGCAUCUGGAGGGUUGGAAAGUUUUUCGGUCUGGGAUGGGCCCGCGGCCUAUCAGCUAGUUGGUGAGGUAACGGCUCACCAAGGCGACGACGGGUAGCCGGCCUGAGAGGGCGACCGGCCACACUGGGACUGAGACACGGCCCAGACUCCUACGGGAGGCAGCAGUGGGGAAUAUUGCGCAAUGGGCGAAAGCCUGACGCAGCAACGCCGCGUGAGGGAUGACGGCCUUCGGGUUGUAAACCGCUUUUAGUAAGGAAGAAGGGGCCUUUGGGUCUUGACGGUACUUGCAGAAAAAGGACCGGCUAACUACGUGCCAGCCGCCGCAGUAAGAC